rnacentral:rRNA from 1 species
AUUAGUGGCGAACGGGUGAGUAACACGUGGGCAAUCUGCCCUUCACUCUGGGACAAGCCCUGGAAACGGGGUCUAAUACCGGAUAACACCCCCUCUCGCAUGGGAGGGGGUUGAAAGCUCCGGCGGUGAAGGAUGAGCCCGCGGCCUAUCAGCUAGUUGGUGAGGUAGAAGCUCACCAAGGCGACGACGGGUAGCCGGCCUGAGAGGGCGACCGGCCACACUGGGACUGAGACACGGCCCAGACUCCUACGGGAGGCAGCAGUGGGGAAUAUUGCACAAUGGGCGAAAGCCUGAUGCAGCGACGCCGCGUGAGGGAUGACGGCCUUCGGGUUGUAAACCUCUUUCAGCAGGGAAGAAGCGAGAGUGACGGUACCUGCAGAAGAAGCGCCGGCUAACUACGUGCCAGCAGCCGCGGUAAUACGUAGGGCGCAAGCGUUGUCCGGAAUUAUUGGGCGUAAAGAGCUCGUAGGCGGCUUGUCGCGUCGGUUGUGAAAGCCCGGGGCUUAACCCCGGGUCUGCAGUCGAUACGGGCAGGCUAGAGUUCGGUAG